UUUGUGUUGAUUUUUUUCCCCCCUAUACAAAAGAUAAAUAUGCCCAGGAAUUUUUUUUCACUACGGGUUUUCAUCUUCUCGACCUCUUGUAAACUAAGCGGGGUCAAUCACUGGUCAGUUCUUCAGGAAGAGACCUCAAGGGAAUAAAAAACCCACAGUACAUUAGGAAAAGGAAUACUUGUGACUUGUGACUUGGCUUUUUAGUGUGUAACGCUACGCUGUUCGAGCCGACAGCGAAUGCUCAUUGCAGGCAGGGCUGGGAAGGCAAUCACAGCUGCAGAAGGCUCAUUCUGCCUGUGGAUGUGAAGCCGGGGUGAGAUGGCAUCUUCAGGGAGCCAAAUGGAAUUAGGAACCAGAACUGUAUGAGAGUCAAGCAGCCUUCGAGGUCCUGUAAGAAAAUGCCAGCAUUGCUUCUCUCUUCCAGCACAAAAAAUGGAAAGUACAAGACCUGGAGUGCUUACCCUGCCCCACCAGUCCCACGAGAGCAGAUGUGAACAAGAAGAACCAAAAAUGUACUUCUGAGACCUUGUUUCUGCUCCGAACAUGCCCUGCUGUCUUUCAGCCAUACAUCUGACCUGAGCGUUCGGGGCUUAACACUUUAGGAAACUGGCCAUGCAGGAAAUCCAAGAGCAACGCUGGGUAUUGUUUCUUUUCAACAGCCCCAAUCAUAAAACACUGCAGCUGUGUAGCAGGGAGCUGCUGCAGCCAGAGCAGCAAGUCCUCGGAGGUCAGUCCCUGCUUCUUUUUCCUCAGCAUUACAUAUUCUUUCAGUAAGAGACAAAAGAGAACAGCAGCCAAUGCACAGCACUACAGCUGUUGGUGAAGGAAUACAAAUGAAUCCCCUUCAUUUGAAGUUGUAGGGAGAAAUUAAGAGCAUAUAAACAUUCCAUCUCAACAUUGGUUGAGAUGGAAAAUGAACCAAGUGGUUUCCUUGCACCAUCCAACCCAGCUCAGCACCUCCAGAGAUGCCCCUCGUCCACAGCAAGCAGGGAAGGAGCUCACGUUACUCCAUGAUAAAUGGAAGAAACUCAUGGAAGCCCACAGUGCCAACCACGUGUGCUGAGCAGAGACCCCGUGCUGAGGGCUGAACGCUCUAAAGACAGCUGUUAGCUUACAGACAGCGCUCAGCGGCACGCAGUGAGCUCAGGUCACCAGUCACACCGCUGCCAGGCACAGCUCAGCAGACCUGACAGAAAGCAGAACCCUGCUUAUACCGAGCUCAGGGAGGAGGCUUCUGCUUUUAUGUUUGCUUUUUAGCAAUUGCAGCUACCAAAGUUGUCGCUUUUCAGCGCCUGAAAUGUCUCGAUGAAAACUGUUUACAACACUUAGUGCUUUGUGCUGAGAUCACUCGCUGCAAUGAAAGCCUGCAUUUUAUUGAAAAGAGCAGACACUUUGCAGGCGGUUUUAUUUCACUCCAACACUUGGAGCUCCCUGGCACAAGGUGGGUACAGAUCCUGUCCUGGUAUGCAGAUUGCUGCCGGUAGAGAUGUGGAGGUGUGAAUUAGAAGGCCAAGAAGUGUAUUCAAAAGGUUUAGAAGCCAGCAGCAGGUGGAUCGGAGCGCAUUUCCUCUUGUUCAAUGCAUUUUUGUUCUAACCCUGCUGUGUCUGAGUUUUUCUGUUGUGUUAGCUAUAGUCAGAUUUCCCCACACCUAUUUCAGCAGGAAACACUAUUUCAUCAAAAUAAGCCAAGCUGAUUGUGAUUGAAUUUCCGUGUUUUAAGAGAAGUCUGCUGAUGGAAAGCAUUCUGUAAAAAUCAAAAUAAAUCUGGGAACUUUGAGGCUUGGCUUUUCUGUUAUGAAUAAUUUGGGGGGCGGGGAGCCACACUCCUACUGCAUUUUGAGAGCAAAGCACAGUCACCUGUAAUUUCUGAACACGGAAUGCUCCGAAAUGCUGUGGCAGGGCAUUUUGAUACAGCUCCAUGAUUGCUCCUAAAGGAAAGUGAGACAGAAAAGCACUCCCCGCCUUCAACUAGCAGACCUGUUCCACUUGAUCCGGGCAGCUCUUGGACUCCCUUCAGGAGGUCAGAUGAGAUGAAACCUUCACUCACUAACAAACAUUCUAUACUGCGCCAUGCACUAGGUUUGAGUCUGUGGAUGUGAAGUCAGAGUGAAUUCCAAGUCACCAGGGCUAGCAUACAUCUACGAAGGUAUGAAUGAAGAAAGAAGACAUUUGAUUUGGAUUCCAACAGCAUAACCUCCAGCAAAGGUCAAGCAAAGCAAGCUUUCUACAGCGAAAGUGCGACCAGCUUCUGUGCAUCACCAGCCAUCCUCUCCACCACUCUGUGAGCACUGAGGGUAUGACUGCUUUGCAUCAAGCAACCUCCGCGCUCCGCUGUACAAAACACACAGGAGUUUGGUCCUAAAGUCGGAAGCAAUGUGCUGGAUUUGGCAUGGAUCCCACCACAGCUCAGGUUACACAGCAACAGUCAUUUCUUCUGCACUGAGCACCAGUGG
ensembl:lncRNA